AGAGAGACUACAGGAUUCCCCUAGUACUGCGAGUGAGCGGGAAAAGCUCAAAUUUAAAAUCUGGCGGUCUUUGGCCGUCCGAGUUGUAGUCUGGAGAAGUGCUUUCCGCGCUGGACCGUGUACAAGUCUCUUGGAACAGAGCGUCAUAGAGGGUGAGAAUCCCGUCUUUGACACGGACUACCAGUGCUUUGUGAUGCGCUCUCAAAGAGUCGAGUUGUUUGGGAAUGCAGCUCAAAAUGGGUGGUGAAUUCCAUCUAAAGCUAAAUAUUGGCGAGAGACCGAUAGCGAACAAGUACCGUGAGGGAAAGAUGAAAAGCACUUUGGAAAGAGAGUUAAACAGUACGUGAAAUUGCUGAAAGGGAAACGCUUGAAGUCAGUCGCGUUGUCCGGAACUCAGCCUUGCUUCGGCUUGGUGCACUUUCCGGAUGACGGGCCAGCAUCGAUUUUGACCGCCGGAAAAGGGUAGGAGAAAUGUGGCACCUUCGGGUGUGUUAUAGUCUCCUAUCGCAUACGGCGGUUGGGAUCGAGGAACGCAGCGCGCCUUAUGGCUGGGGUUCGCCCACAUUCGCGCUUAGGAUGCUGGCAUAAUGGCUUUAAACGACCCGUCUUGAAACACGGACCAAGGAGUCUAACAUACCUGCGAGUGUUUGGGUGGAAAACCCGAGCGCGUAAUGAAAGUGAAAGUUGAGACCUCUGUCGUGGAGGGCAUCGACGCCCGGACCUGACGUUCUCUGACGGAUCCGCGGUAGAGCAUGUAUGUUGGGACCCGAAAGAUGGUGAACUAUGCCCUGAUAGGGUGAAGCCAGAGGAAACUCUGGUGGAGGCUCGUAGCGAUUCUGACGUGCAAAUCGAUCGUCAAAAUUGGGUAUAGGGGCGAAAGACUAAUCGAACCAUCUAGUAGCUGGUUCCUGCCGAGUUUCCCCCCCGGA
rnacentral:rRNA from 1 species